rnacentral:lncRNA from 1 species
CAUACAUACAUACAUACAUACAUAUAUAUACAUACAUACAUACAUACAUAUAUAUAUAUACAUACAUACAUACAUACAUACAUACAUAUAUAUAUAUAUAUACAUACAUACAUACAUACAUACAUAUAUAUAUAUAGUAGGGCUAGAAUACUUGUAAAAGUAUCAUGGGGGUGAUACUUGUGUGUUUUUAGUCCUUGGAUGGAGAGAUGUGAGGUUGAGAUGAUGAUGGUAGGUGGUGAUAGGUGGUGGUAGGUGGAAUAGUGUUUAAUCUAAGGACUAUUAAUAAUCAAAAAGUAGAUCCAAUGACUUAAAACCUAAUAGCACCAUAAUGAUGAUACUUGUAAAAGUAUAAUAGCUCAACUCUCUCUCUCUCUCUCUCUCUCUCUCUAUAUAUAUAUAGAGUAGGGCUAGAAUACUUGUAAAAGUAUCAUCGGGGUGAUACUUGUGUGUUUUUAGCCGUUGGAUGGAGAGAUGUGAGGUUGAGAUGAUGGUGGU